rnacentral:rRNA from 1 species
UACAGGAUUCCCCUAGUAACGGCGAGUGAAGCGGGAUGAGCUCAAGCUUAAAAUCUCUGUCACAAAUUUAUUUUGUGCGGCGAAUUGUAGUCUAUAGAGGCGUGAUCAGUGUAGGCGCUUGAGGUAAGUUCCUUGAAAAAGGACAGCAUGGAGGGUGAAACUCCCGUUCAUACUUAAGUGGCUUGCACGUACGAUUCGUUUUCUUUGAGUCGCGUUGUUUGAGAAUGCAGCGCAAAGUAGGUGGUAAAUUCCAUCUAAAGCUAAAUAUUGGUGCGAGACCGAUAGCGAACAAGUACCGUGAGGGAAAGAUGAAAAGAACUCUGAAAAGAGAGUUAAAGAGUACCUGAAACUGCUGAAAGGGAACCAAAUCGUUUCUAGUGUCUAUAAUCUAUGACAUAUUUCAUUGGGAAGUGUGUGCGUGUGUAUACUAUGGCAGCGGCUUUUUUUAGUUGCGCUUGGUGUGCGUGCUGUAUGUACUAACUGAUGCCCUGUGUUAUAGUGGGACGUCAAGGUCAGUUUGUAUACUGCGGGAAAUGGCUACUGAGGAGGUAGGGCUUACGCUUGCGUUUGUCUAUUAUAUCUUGGUAGUUGUGUCGUGGUUGAGACUGAGGUGUUCUACAACGUGCUUAUGAGUGGGUCUACGUCUCCGUGUGCGCCGUGUGCAGAUAGCUUGCUAUGUGUAUGUGGUGGUGUGUGGAUUGAUAUGGGCUUUAUCUUACUGCCGUUCGGGACUUUGACGAAAUAGAGCGAUUUGACCCGUCUUGAAACACGGACCAAGGAGUCUAACAUAUGUGCAAGUGUUAGGGUGUGGAAACCCCAGCGCGAAAUGAAAGUAAAGGAUAGUGUAAACUAUCUUAGGUAGGAAACGUUAUGAACUUCGGUUUGUGGCGUGGCACUAUCGACCGAUCAUGAACCCUCGUGGUGAAAGAUUUGAGUUUGAGCACAUAUGUUGGUACCCGAAAGAUGGUGAACUAUGCCUGAGUAGGGUGAAGCCAGGGAAACUC